CUUGAAAUGCAGUGGCAGUAUCAUAACCAAUAAAGUUAAUCUGAGGUGUGAUUAUUGCUAGUUGAAAUCUUUUCAAGGUGACCUCUGUAUAUUCAUACUUAUGGGUUGUGCCUCUCAAGGG
rnacentral:snRNA from 1 species